UGGCGAACGGGUGAGUAACGCGUGAGGAACCUGCCUCAAAGAGGGGGACAACAGUUGGAAACGACUGCUAAUACCGCAUAAGCCCACGGGUCGGCAUCGACCUGAGGGAAAAGGAGCAAUCCGCUUUGAGAUGGCCUCGCGUCCGAUUAGCUAGUUGGUGAGGUAACGGUCCACCAAGGCGACGAUCGGUAGCCGGACUGAGAGGUUGAACGGCCACAUUGGGACUGAGACACGGCCCAG
rnacentral:rRNA from 1 species